AUUGAACGCUGGCGGCAGGCCUAACACAUGCAAGUCGAGCGGAUGAAGGAAGCUUGCUCCUGGAUUCAGCGGCGGACGGGUGAGUGAUGCCUAGGAAUCUGCCUGGUAGUGGGGGAUAACGUCCGGAGACGGGCGCUAAUACCGCAUACGUCCUGAGGGAGAAAGUGGGGGAUCGUCGGACCUCUCGCUCUCAGAUGAGCCUAGGUCGGAUUAGCUAGUUGGUGGGGUAAUGGCCUACCAAGGCGACGAUCCGUAACUGGACUGACAGGAGGAUCAGUCACAUGGGAACGGGGACACGGUCCAGACGACUAAGGGAGGCAGCAGAGGGGAAUGUUGGACAGUGGGCGAAAGCCUGGUACAGCCAUGCCGAGUGUGUGAAGAAGGUCCUCGGAGUGUAAAGCAGUCUAAGGUGGGAGAAAGGGCAGUAAGUUAGGACCUUGCGGGUGUGACGGUACCAAGAGAAGAAGCACCGGCUAACUACGUG
rnacentral:rRNA from 1 species